rnacentral:rRNA from 1 species
GAUGAACGCUGGCGGCGUGCCUAAUACAUGCGAGUCGAGCGAACAGAUGAGGAGCUUGCUCCUCUGACGUUAGCGGCGGACGGGUGAGUAACACGUGGAUAACCUACCUAUAAGACUGGGAUAACUUCGGGAAACCGGAGCUAAUACCGGAUAAUAUAUUGAACCGCAUGGUUCAAUAGUGAAAGACGGUUUUGCUGUCACUUAUAGAUGGAUCCGCGCCGCAUUAGCUAGUUGGUAAGGUAACGGCUUACCAAGGCAACGAUGCGUAGCCGACCUGAGAGGGUGAUCGGCCACACUGGAACUGAGACACGGUCCAGACUCCUACGGGAAGCAGCAGUAGGGAAUCUUCCGCAAUGGGCGAAAGCCUGACGGAGCAACGCCGCGUGAGUGAUGAAGGUCUUCGGAUCGUAAAACUCUGUUAUUAGGGAAGAACAAAUGUGUAAGUAACUAUGCACGUCUUGACGGUACCUAAUCAGAAAGCCACGGCUACUACGUG